rnacentral:rRNA from 1 species
AGCUCCAAUAGCGUAUAUUAAAGUUGUUGCAGUUAAAAAGCUCGUAGUUGGAUUUCUGGUGGGCGCGACCGGUCCGCCCCGAAAGGGGUGAGCACUGGCGUCGCCGUCCGCCAUCCUUGGGGAGAGACAUGCUGACAUUCACUUGCCGGUGUGUGGAUCCCCAUCGUUUACUGUGAGAAAAUUAGAGUGUUCAACGCAGGCUUACGCCUUGAAUACAUUAGCAUGGAAUAAUAGUCGAGGCUCUUGGUCUGACUUGUUGGUUUGCAGCCCGAGAGAAUGAUUCAAUAGGGAUAGUUGGGGGUAUUCGUAUUCAAUUGUCAGAGGUGAAAUUCUUGGAUUUAUGGAAGACGAACUACUGCGAAAGCAUUUACCAAGGAUGUUUUCA